rnacentral:tRNA from 1 species
UCCCUGGUGGUCCAGUGGUUAAGACGCUACCUUACAAUGCUGGGGUCCUGGGUUCAAUCCUUAGUCAGGGAA